rnacentral:rRNA from 1 species
CGGGACACGUGGUAUCCUGUCUGAAUAUGGGGGGACCAUCCUCCAAGGCUAAAUACUCCUGACUGACCGAUAGUGAACCAGUACCGUGAGGGAAAGGCGAAAAGAACCCCGGCGAGGGGAGUGAAAAAGAACCUGAAACCGUGUACGUACAAGCAGUGGGAGCCUCUUUUAUGGGGUGACUGCGUACCUUUUGUAUAAUGGGUCAGCGACUUAUAUUCUGUAGCAAGGUUAACCGAAUAGGGGAGCCGAAGGGAAACCGAGUCUUAACUGGGCGUUAAGUUGCAGGGUAUAGACCCGAAACCCGGUGAUCUAGCCAUGGGCAGGUUGAAGGUUGGGUAACACUAACUGGAGGACCGAACCGACUAAUGUUGAAAAAUUAGCGGAUGACUUGUGGCUGGGGGUGAAAGGCCAAUCAAACCGGGAGAUAGCUGGUUCUCCCCGAAAGCUAUUUAGGUAGCGCCUCGUGAAUUCAUCUCCGGGGGUAG